rnacentral:rRNA from 1 species
UGGGAAUUUUGGACAAUGGGCGAAAGCCUGAUCCAGCAAUGCCGCGUGUGUGAAGAAGGCCUUCGGGUUGUAAAGCACUUUUGUCCGGAAAGAAAUCCUUGGCUCUAAUACAGUCGGGGGAUGACGGUACCGGAAGAAUAAGCACCGGCUAACUACGUGCCAGCAGCCGCGGUAAUACGUAGGGUGCAAGCGUUAAUCGGAAUUACUGGGCGUAAAGCGUGCGCAGGCGGUUUGCUAAGACCGAUGUGAAAUCCCCGGGCUCAACCUGGGAACUGCAUUGGUGACUGGCAGGCUAGAGUAUGGCAGAGGGGGGUAGAAUUCCACGUGUAGCAGUGAAAUGCGUAGAGAUGUGAAGGAAUACCGAUGGCGAAGGCAGCCCCCUGGGCCAAUACUGACGCUCAUGCACGAAAGCGUGGGGAGCAAACAGGAUUAGAUACCCUGGUAGUCCACGCCCUAAACGAUGUCAACUAGUUGUUGGGGAUUCAUUUCCUUAGUAACGUAGCUAACGCGUGAAGUUGACCGCCUGGGGAGUACGGUCGCAAGAUUAAAACUUAAAUGAAUUGACGGGGUCAUAGCUGUUUCCU